CCUACGGGUGACAGCAGUGAGGAAUAUUGGUCAAUGGACGAGCGUCUGAACCAGCCAAGUAGCGUGAAGGAUGACUGCCCUAUGGGUUGUAAACUUCUUUUAUAUGGGAAUAACAUGUUCCACGUGUGGGAUUUUGUAUGUACCAUAUGAAUAAGGAUCGGCUAACUCCGUGCCAGCAGCCGCGGUAAUACGGAGGAUCCGAGCGUUAUCCGGAUUUAUUGGGUUUAAAGGGAGCGUAGGUGGAUUGUUAAGUCAGUUGUGAAAGUUUGCGGCUCAAGCGUAAAAAUUAAGUUGAAACUGGCAGUCUUGAGGACAGUAGAGGUGGGCGGAAUGCGUGGUGUAGCGGUGAAAUGCUUAGAUAUCACGCAGAACUCCGAUUGCGAAGGCAGCUCACUGGCCUGCAACUGACACUGAGGCUCGAAAGUGUGGGUAUCAAACAGGAAUAGAUACCCCUGCAGUC
rnacentral:rRNA from 1 species